GAAAUCUGAAACAGAGCAGUCACUUGUCUCUCUCGCCCGAAGCACUCUCUUCUUUCUCUUCUACGCUCUCAGAUCCUCUGCGAUUUCCCCAAGCUCUCUCUUCAACCACUUACUACACAGUAAAAUUCUCCCACAGAAGGAGAGUUUUUUUUUUUGGGUGGGUGGGGUGGAAGAAAAACAAAUGGAACAACUCGAACAAAUGGAAUCCUCCAAAUACGCUACCUUUGAAGCUUGAUCUACAGAACCCAAUACAGUAAAGACAGAGAAAACAGGGGUUUGAUUGAAUCACUCAAACUGGUCUGCCACGACUAGGCGAGUUAACACCUAGACCGGCCAUUUUCCCUCCUUUUCGCCACCCUUGAAGAGGUGAAGCUCAGGUCUGCUCGGAGAGGCGAAAGGGUUUAUCAGUGGUUUUUGGACACCGGUUAACUUUGUUUCAUCAUCUCUUUCCGCAUUCAUGGAGUUUAACGGAGAUGUAGCCGAAUCAUCAAGGCGGGUUCAGGUACGCUUUGUAUCGAAGCUCCAGCCUGCUAUGAGAGUUCCAGCAUCUUCCAUUGCAAUACCCUCCAACCUUACCAGGAUGGGUCUAUCUGCUGUUGUCAAUAAUCUUCUCAAAGCUGGAAAUUCUGAUUGGGAACCUCAACCUUUUGAUUUUCUCAUUGAUGGUGAGCUGGUUCGGAUGCCACUUGAACAGUUUCUCCUCGCCAAGGGCAUUUCCGCGGAGAAAAUUCUUGAAAUUGAAUACAUUAGGGCUGUAGCCCCACGAAAGCAGGAGGAACCAUGUUUACAUGAUGAUUGGGUCAGUGCAGUCGAUGGUUCUAAUCCUAGGUUCAUAUUAACUGGGUGCUACGAUAGUUUUGCAAGGGUAUGGAAAGCUGGUAGACUGUGUACACAUAUCUUAGAGGGACAUAAUGAUGCAGUUACUGCUGUAACUACUGUUAAUCAAAAAGGUACUGAGAAUGUUACCAACUUAUGUGUGGCCACAGCUUCAAAAGAUCGGACAUUAAGGUUGUGGAAGUUUGAUGUAGAUGAGGUCCUCGAUCAUCCUACGAAGAUUAGAGCCUUUAAAAUCCUCAAGGGGCACAAAUCAUCUGUACAAACUGUUGCAGCUCAGAUGUCUGGAGAUAUGGUUUGUUCUGGUUCCUGGGACUGUACUAUCAAUCUAUGGCAGACAAAUGAGAAUGAUGCAGAAGGUGAUAUAGUUUCAAUAAAAAAGAGAAAAGUGGGAAGCAAGGGAGAAGAAUUGCAGUCGGAGGGGGAGGCUGUAUCCACACUUGUGGGGCAUACACAAUGUGUAUCUUCUGUUGUCUGGCCAGAACGGGAAACUAUUUAUUCUGCAUCAUGGGAUCAUUCUGUUAGAAGGUGGGAUUUUGAAACAGGCAAAGAUUCCUUGAACAUAUUCUGCGGGAAAGCCCUCAACUGCCUUGAUGUUGGAGGUGAAAGUUCUGCACUUGUUGCUGCUGGUGGUUCCGAUCCUAUCCUUAGGAUAUGGGAUCCUCGAAAACCAGGAACUUUAGCUCCCAUCUUUCAGUUCUCAUCUCACUCCUCUUGGAUCACGGCUUGCAAGUGGCACAAAAAAUCAUGGUUUCAUUUGGUUUCCGCAUCUUAUGAUGGGAAAUUGAUGUUGUGGGAUCUAAGAACUGCGGUAUUGUCUCCCACCUGUAUUUUUAUGCUGAUUCUGUACUGUGAUUUUUCAGGUAUGGAGGCUAAUUUACCUUUCUUUGAUGUCCAAUCAAAACACCUUUUUGAAUCAGUGGCCACUGGCAGUUCUAAACUCACAUAAUGACAAGGUGCUAUGUGCUGACUGGUGGAAAGGUGAUAGCAUAGUCAGCGGUGGAGCAGACUCGAAACUUUGCAUUUCUUCUGAAAUUCCUUUUGAGUGAGCAAUACAAGAGUAUCAGUAUAGGCCUUGUGCGUUGGAAAACUGAAAUCUAUUCCAAUGAACCUGGUCAAAAGAAUUUUGUUGAAGGUUAUUUUUUCUUGUAUAUACAAAAUUUUGAUGGCCUUUGAUCAGUAUCAUUUUAGAACACAGGUCUAAUAAGAGAAGCAUAAGGUGGGACUGAAUUUCUGCUGGCAAUUGAGGAACCAUGGCUAUGCCAGUCGUAAGAAAAUCUUACUUGCAUAGGUUAUUUAGAGGAAAGUGUUGAACUUUUGAAUUGAUAUAAAUGUAUUUCUUUGCGUCGAUUGAAAGAACUUAACCACUUUUUUAUCAAAAUUUUUUACUGCAGUAACAAGUGUAACCCCUUAUCUUUCCUCUAGUUUUUAUUUUUGAAUACCUCUUCCCUUCA